rnacentral:rRNA from 1 species
AAAGGGCUGCAGUAUUUUGACUGUACAAAGGUAGCAUAAUCAAUAGUCUUUUAAUUGAUGACUUGAAUGAAAGAUUGGAUGAAAUAUAAACUGUCUCUUGUUUAUAGUAAGAAAUUAAUUUUUUAAUUAAAAAGUUAAAAUAAAUUUAAAAGACGAGAAGACCCUAUAGAGUUUUAUAUUUAAAUUAAAUAAAGUUAUUUUUUAUAAUAAUAAUAAAAAUUAAUUUAAGUAUUUUGUUGGGGUGAUAAAAAAAUAAAAAUAACUUUUUUUAAUUUAAAACAAUAAUAAUUGAAUAAUUGAUCCAAAAAUUUUGAUUAAAAGAGUAAAUUACCUUAGGGAUAACAGCGUAAUUUUUUUUUUUAGUUCAAAUAAAAAAAAGAGUUUGCGACCUCGAUGUUGGAUUAAAAUAAAAUUUAUAUGCAAAAGUAUAAAA